UACAGAGGUCUCAAGCGUUGUUCGGAUUCAUUGGGCGUAAAGGGUGCGUAGGCGGCGAGGUAAGUCAGAUGUGAAAUCCCGGGGCUUAACCCCGGAACUGCAUUUGAUACUGCUUUGCUUGAGGACUGGAGAGGAGAUCGGAAUUCACGGUGUAGCAGUGAAAUGCGUAGAUAUCGUGAGGAAGGCCAGUGGCGAAGGCGGUUGCCUGGGGCUUUGCUGACGCUGAUGCGCGAAAGCGUGGGGAGCGAUCCGG
rnacentral:rRNA from 1 species